rnacentral:tRNA from 1 species
ACUUUAUUAGUAUAAAUAGUACAUUUAACUUCCAAUUAAAAAGUUUUUAGAAAUAAAGU